rnacentral:rRNA from 1 species
AAUGAACGCUGGCGGCGCGCCUAAUACAUGCAAGUCGAGCGAGAAGACGUAGCAAUACGUUUGUAAAGCGGCGAACGGGUGAGGAAUACAUGGGUAACCUACCCUCGAGUGGGGAAUAACUAGCCGAAAGGUUAGCUAAUACCGCGUACGCUUCUUGGACUUCGGUUCAGGGAGGAAAGCGAUGCCGAGGGUAUCGCGCUCUUGGAUGGGCUCAUGUCCUAUCAGCUUGUUGGNGAGGUAACGGCUCACCAAGGCUUCGACGGGUAGCUGGUCUGAGAGGACGAUCAGCCACACUGGCACUGCGACAC